AAGCGCGCGCUCACAGCCGACUCCAGCAAGGCACUUUCUGCAGAACUCGGGCUUCGGUGCUGGGGGUGACGGCUGGAGCCAUCCACGGUGACCCUGCACGCUGUGGCACUCGGGCAGGCCACAUUCCCACUGUUCAACCCGCUCUACCGUAAAAUGGUGUUUUACAAUAAAAAUGCCCAUCCCAGCACCUCUAGGGGGCAGAGCCAAGGUUAGAGAGGAGGGACAGGCAGAGGGCAAUUAAAUGUCCAGAGCCAGCAGCCAGGUUCAAAGCCCCGCCCUCCUAGUUUCUGAACUCAGCAGUCUGACCGUGAGAGCCAGGUGGCUCUCAGCCCUCCGCUGCCGUCUACUGUGCCGCCAGCCUGAUUGUCAUCUAGAAAAUGGCAAAGGUGGCGUCAGGAGUCAUUUGGCACUUCCUGAUAACCAAUCGUGUCCUGCCAGACACAGAUGUUUCCUAUAGCCACAACAGCGCCAAAGCAGCUACAAGUGUUCAACUUUGACCUCACGGACUCCCAACAAGCUGCAGGUGUUCAACUCUGACCUCACAGACUUCCAACAAGCUGGACCUGCACCUUCUCUCCCAGCCAUGGAUGUUCUCACAGACCCUGGAAAGCAUCAAGGCAGCCUGUUCUUCCUGGACUUGGCCAACAUUUCAGCCUUUUGACCUCCCUACAGUGCCCCCAGUGUCAGCAGGAAGUAGCCAGAAGAGAAGCUACGCCCGUUAUUCACUUGUUGUUAACAAAAGGCUGAAAUGGUGUGCUUCAGGACCAGGACAAGCAGCUCCAGGUUCUCCCAGCGUUCCCCAGUCCCUACCUGCUGCCUUGCCAUGGCUGGCAAAUCUCUCUAUUGACAACCCUCUACCCUAAAUUUUCCAGGGCAGGGACUUCCCUUACUCUUGACCUUGCAAUCUGACCAUUUUGUUGCUAUAAUUCUUCUCUCUCUUAACCCUUUGCAAUGACAACCAAGAGCUGCUUCCAAUGAGCCUAAAUUUAUAUACUUUAACUUACCUUAUAAAAGCAGCCCAAGCUCCCCAUUUUUUUAAUUAUAGAAAAAGGGAGGAAUCUUAGUACUUUGGAACACAACCUGCUCCUGGGUUACCCAGCAACCUAUGAUGUCAUCAUGUGUUGCCAGCCAGGUGGCAACAUGAUGGCCUUAAAGGGCCAACCCCGUGGUCUCUCUCUUACUCUCCUCUUGCUCUCUCUCACGUUCUCCCACUCUCUUGGGGCACCCCUUCCCUUUUCUCUCUCUCUCUUCAUGUCCUGCUUCCCCCAGCCACCAUACCCUCCUAAUAAAUCUCCUGCAGAGAAGAUUGGUUGACCAGCCUCAUGCUUUUUUAAUAACAGGCAUCAGGAAUCAGAGGAGACUGCCUCAGUUUACACAGCUUUAUUUUCUAGACUUUGGCCAUUAACAUUUUCCACGAAAACAGCAUUUGGAAAAUGUUGUCACCUUUCCCCAGGUUGCCUUCCUGUCGCCGUCUUCACGGAAACAGCCCAGGGGGAAGCGGAAGGACCCAGUUUCAGGCCCACCAGCCCACGAGGGCUCCUACCUGUCCGCAGCGGCCCUGCUUCACCCACCUGCUGCUUCGAGGACUGGUUGGCAGGUUCUCCCUCGAGCAGACUUGGGCACAGGGAAAAGGCUGUUUUGUAACUUUUGGCUGGAACUUCCAGAGGCCGAACAGGAAACGUCCUCUGGGACAAGGAGCUCAAGGAGUCACCUCGGGUUUUCCUGGAAGCUGCUGGCAACAGCGGGCUGAGCUUACUUCAUUCAAGCCAGGUGUGAUGGUGCACACUCCCAGCACACAGGAGGCUGAGGAGGCAAGAGGAUCAAAGUUCAAGGCCAGCCUGGGCUACAGAAUAAGUUCUAGACCAGCCUAGGCAACCUGAGACCCUGUCUCAAAACAUAUGUAAGUAGACAAGUAAAUAAAUCAAUGACACGUUUUAAGGGAUUUUGUGUCUAAGGAAGGGAUAAAGUUCUGUUGACUUAAGCAAAUUAAAACUCACCCUAAGUUUUCACCGUUUAGACAUGAGCAAACUCUUACUUUAUUCGAGGAUCCUCGAAGGGAUGAGGAGCUAAGUCUGACAGAGAAGCCAGCUGGGUG